GAUGAACGCUGGCGGCGUGCUUAACACAUGCAAGUCGAACGAGAAGUGGAGACGGAAACCUUCGGGCGGAAGACUUUAUUUCGAGUGGCGGACGGGUGAGUAACGCGUGGGUAACCUGCCUCAUACAGGGGGAUAACAGUUGGAAACGACUGUUAAUACCGCAUAAGACCACAGCACCGCAUGGUGCGGGGGUAAAAACUCCGGUGGUAUGAGAUGGACCCGCGUUCGAUUAGCCAGUUGGCGGGGUAACGGCCCACCAAAGCGACGAUCGAUAGCCGAUCUGAGAGGAUGGCCGGCCACAUUGGGACUGAGACACGGCCCAAACUCCUACGGGAAGCAGCAGUGGGGAAUAUUGCACAAUGGGGGAAACCCUGAUGCAGCGACGCCGCGUGAGUGAAGAAGUAUUUCGGUAUGUAAAGCUCUAUCAGCAGGGAAGAAAAUGACGGUACCUGAGUAAGAAGCCCCGGCUAACUACGUG
rnacentral:rRNA from 1 species